rnacentral:rRNA from 1 species
CAUUAAGAAGUUUGUCGUGGAAUACGAUUUAAUUUGAAAUUAAAGAUUUAUGAAUGAUUUUAGGAAAAGAAAUUUUUUGUUAGAGUAAUUUUUUUGAAAUAAUAAAAUGAUUUAUAGUUAAGUUUUACAGUGAUGGGUAAUUUUAAAUUGGUUAAAAGAAUAUUUGAUUUAUAGUACCUUGUGUAUCAGGGUUGAUUUAAUAAGAAGUUUAAAUAAAAAUUUCCCGAAUUUUUUAAGAGCUAAAAGGUUAUCAAUUUUAAUGUGGCAAAAUUAUUUAAAAUAGGGUUUUUGGGGUGAAAUUUUAGUCGUUUUGAAAUAUAUCUGGUUUUUUAAGAAAUAGAUUUAAUUUACUUGGGUUGGAAAAUUUAUUUUUUUGAAAUUAAUUUUUGGAUUUAGGAAAUAUUUAUAGGGAUUAGCUUGUAAAUAUAAUGUUAUAAAUAGUUGAGAAGGGAAUAUUAAAUAGGAUUAGAAGUGUUCAUUUUUUAGAGUUUGUAAUAAAACAAUUUUUUUUUAUAUGAUUUUCUUUUUUUUAAUUUAUUUAUUAAAAUAGUUGAAUUAAUAGGUUUAUUUGACGAGAUAAUGAUUAGAUUAGUAUAUUUAAUGUAAGUGUAUACAAAUUGUUAAGUUAAAGUAAAGGAACUCGGCAAAUAUAUAUUUCUGCCUGUUUAUUAAAAACAUGGUUUUUUGGGAUAAUCUAAAAUCUGGCCUGCCCAAUGAUUAGAUUAAAUGGCCGCGGUAUAUUGACCGUGCAAAGGUAGCAUAAUCAUUAGUUUUUUAAUUGAAAGCUGGUAUGAAUGGUCUGACAAGAAAGGAGCUGUCUCUAUUUUAUUAUUAGAAUUUUAUAUUUAAGUAAGAAAGCUUAAAUUUAAUUGUGGGACGAGAAGACCCUUUAGAAUUUUAUAUUAGUUUUAGUUGAUAUUUAUUGAAUAUUUAUUUUUUAUUAAGAUGAUGUAUUUUGUUGGGGUGAUGGAAAAAUUUAAUGAACUUUUUUUUUAUUUAAAUUCAUUGAUUUAUGAAUAUAUGAUCCAUAUUUUAUGAUUAUAAGAUUAAAUUACCUAAGGGAUAACAGCGUUAUUGAUUCGGAGAGUUCAAAUCGAUGAAUUAGUUUGCGACCUCGAUGUUGGAUUAAAAUUUAUUGUUGGUGUAGGAGCUAAUAUAUUAAGUCUGUUCGACUUUUAAAAUUUUACAUGAUCUGAGUUUAAACCGGUGUGAGCCAGGUUGGUUUCUAUCUUCAAUAAGUGAAAAAUACUUUAGUACGAAAGGAUUAAGUAUUAUCUAUAAUAGGUUAGUUUGAAUAAUAUU